GCGGCCGUGGUCUAGCCUGGUAGGAUGGGGGCCCCCCAAGCCCCAGAUCGCGGGUUCAAACCCCGCCGGCCGCACCA
rnacentral:tRNA from 1 species